ACGAACGCUGGCGGCGUGCUUAACACCUGCAAGUCGAACGUGAUUUUUGUGGAAAUUCUUUCGGGAAUGGAAAUGAAAUGAAAGUGGCGAACGGGUGAGUAACACGUGAGCAACCUACCUUACACAGGGGGAUAGCCGUUGGAAACGACGAUUAAUACCGCAUGAGACCACAGAAUCGCAUGAUAUAGGGGUCAAAGAUUUAUCGGUGUAAGAAGGGCUCGCGUCUGAUUAGCUAGUUGGAAGGGUAAAGGCCUACCAAGGCGACGAUCAGUAGCCGGUCUGAGAGGAUGAACGGCCACAUUGGAACUGAGACACGGUCCAAACUCCUACGGGAGGCAGCAGUGGGGAAUAUUGCACAAUGGGGGGAACCCUGAUGCAGCGACGCCGCGUGAGCGAAGAAGGUUUUCGAAUCGUAAAGCUCUGUCCUAUGAGAAGAUAAUGACGGUAUCAUAGGAGGAAGCCCCGGCUAAAUACGUG
rnacentral:rRNA from 1 species